rnacentral:SRP_RNA from 1 species
GCUGGGCGUGGUGGCGUGCACCUGUAAUCCCAGCUACUCAGGAGGCUGAGGCAGGAGAAUCGCUUGAACCCAGGAGGCGGGGGUUGCAGUGAGCCGAGAUCACACCUUGCACUCCAGCCUGGGUGACAGAGCGAGACUCUGUCUCAA